AUAAUAUACCUUAGUUGGCAACAUGUUAUAUUGUUGCAGAUAGUAACCAAUGUCAGACAUAAUUAACCAUGUAGGCUAUAAAGCCUUGGUUAAAAUGUGACCAAUAGACGGCUCUGAUCUUUCUCUCCAUCAUAACUGUCAGUGGGGUGAAUAACAGUGGUUCCCUAGAAAAGGGGAGAAUUGGAGCUUUACAAAAAUGACAAAGUAUUACUGUACUCCUAAUAGUCAACAAAUACUAUUUUGUUUUCCCCUAUAUGUGUAUGUACAGUAUGUAUGUGUGAUGGGAUGUAUAGACUUUAUGGACAGUAUGUGGAUAGAAUAUGUAGUAUAUGGAUAGACUACAUGGAUAGUAUAUGUAGAAUACAUGGAUAGAAUAUGUAGUAUAUGUGUAGAAUACAUGGGUAGAAUAUGUAGUAUAUCUGUAGAAUACAUGGAUAGUAUAUGUAGUACAUCUGUAGAAUACAUGGAUAGUAUAUGUACAGCAAUAGUUGAAUAGGAUGGACUUGACUAGAAUAUAUUAUAUACAUAUGAAAUGAGUAAAGCAGUAUGUAAACAUUAUUAAAGGGACCAGUGAUUCAUUGUCUAUGUAUAUAGGGCAGCAGCCUCUAAGGUACAGGGUUGAGUAACUGGGUGGUAGCUGGCUAGUGACAGUGAGUAAGUUCAGGGCAGGGUACUGGGUGGGGGCUGGCUAGUGACAGUAACUGAAGUUCAGGGCAGGGUACUGGGUGGAGGCUGGCUAGUGACAGUAACUGAAGUUCAGGGCAGGGUACUGGGUGGAGGCUGGCUAGUGAUGGCUAUUUAACAGUCUGAUGGUCUUGAGAUAGAAGCUGUUUUUCAGUCUCUCGGUCCCAGCUUUGAUGCACCUGUACUGACCUCCUCCUGGAUGAUAGUGGGGUGAACAGGCAGUAGCUCAGGUGGCUGAUGUCCUUGAUGAUCUUCUUGACCUUCCUUUAAUACCGAGUGCUGUAGGUGUCCUGAAGGGCAGGCAGUGUGCUCCCGGUGAUUCUGGAGAGCCCUGCGGUUGCGGACGGUGCAGUUGCCUUUCCAGACGGUGAUACGUCCUGUCUAAAUCUGUCAUUCUCAUUGAAAGCAAGUCUAAGAAGUGGUAGAUCUGUUCUAUUUGUACUAUUUCUAUGCUUCCCGUUUUUAAGUUUUGUCAUUGCGUCUUACAUUCAGUUUUGUACACCAGCUUCUAACAGCUGAAAAAUCCAAUAUUUUUGGUUAUGGACUAGAUAUGUCACAGCGGUUUAGAUGGUACAAUGAUUAUCUACAAUAGUUUUUCUAAUUUCAGUUUGAAAUCUAUUAGAAUUUGAACAACCAGGAAAUGUCAGAGUGCAUCUUUUUUUAACUCGGCUACUUUUAAUUUCCAAGUUUAAAUGGGCUUGUCCGUCAAGCCUUCUCCCGCUAGAAUGAAUGAUUAGUCAUUUUCUAGCCAUCUAUUGAUAGGAAAGGCGCCUGUCAGUCAGUUCUGGCACGUUCAUUUAUUUUCUUUAGCCUCUUUCACAUUGCCUGCCAGGCUAUUUAUUUACUGUGCGUUGAUUGACAACUGAACACCAAGUGUUGACUAGUUUAUAAAAGGUGUCGAACUGAUUGAAAAAUAUAAUGGACCUAUAUAUUUUUAAAAUGUGUGUGUAAUUUUAUUUUUUAUAUACUUGAGAGCUAACAAUCACCAAAAUCAAAGCUAGACAAAACACAGCAGUGUUUAUUGAAAACUAUUGAAAACUGCAACAUCUUCUCUCAACUCCAUGUCAAAAUGUGUAUAAUUGCAGGAAAUUAACUUUAAAACUUAAAUGUAUCUCAGCUCCAUGGAGAAAUUCUGAAAAUGACAGAAAAUUGGCUUAAAAUACGG
rnacentral:lncRNA from 1 species